rnacentral:rRNA from 1 species
AUGAACGCUAGCGGCAGGCUUAACACAUGCAAGUCGAGGGGCAGCAUAAUGAAGUAGCAAUACGGAAUUGAUGGCGACCGGCGCACGGGUGCGUAACGCGUAUGUAACCUACCUUUAACAGGGGGAUAACACUGAGAAAUUGGUACUAAUACCCCAUAACACUUGAUAGGGCAUCCUAUUGAGUUGAAAGUUCCGGCGGUUAGAGAUGGACAUGCGUUGUAUUAGCUAGAUGGUGAGGUAACGGCUCACCAUGGCGACGAUACAUAGGGGGACUGAGAGGUUAACCCCCCACACUGGUACUGAGACACGGACCAGACUCCUACGGGAGGCAGCAGUGAGGAAUAUUGGUCAAUGGACGCAAGUCUGAACCAGCCAUGCCGCGUGCAGGAUGACGGCUCUAUGAGUUGUAAACUGCUUUUGUACAAGGGUAAACCCCGAUACGUGUAUCGGGCUGAAAGUACUGUACGAAUAAGGAUCGGCUAACUCCGUG